CCGAAAAUCCCCAUAUUUAAUCCCCAUAUUAUACCAUACGGUGCGUUUAAUGGAAAUUAGGUUAACUACUAACUAGUUUUAUUUUUUUCUCCUCUCCUCAGUCAGUCCAUGCCUCUUCUCUGCCCUAGACCCUGCUGCGCCGACUUCCCUCUCUUCUUCUUCUUCUUCUUCUUUUCUUCUUCUUCAGUCUUCAGACUUUGGUUCUUCUUCAUAGUCACUGCCGUGUUGCAUCUUGGUGGGUCUUCCACUUCGGUUCUUUAGCACUCUUCCACGCACAACCCUCGCCGACGCCGUGAACCUCCCCUCAUGCAGCAAUCUUUGGUUUCCUUCUCAUUGCCACCUACUUCAUCAUUAUGGAUCAAUCAAAUGAAACACCUGAUAAUGUGAGACCUUCUAUGGAAAGGAUUCAAAAGACCAUGGAAUCAACGGCGACUAAUGAUCCACUUUCUCCACCCUCUAAUAGCUCAUGGAAGCCUUAGGGAGUUCUUCAAGAUCCACUUUUUUGGUUGGAGAUCAUUAAAUUUAAGGUUUGUCGAAUGGACUAUUGGAGUUGGUGGCUUCGUGCAUAGCUAUUACUAUUAGCUAUUUGUUCUAGUUAUAAAGUUUUUUAUUAGAUGUUCUUGUAAUUUGAACUUCUAAUUUAGAUUUAUAAAUUGGACUUGUAAUUUGUUGGACUUUUGGAUUUGUAAUUUAUUAGACUUUUUGAUUUGUACUUUAGACUUUUGGUAUUUGGAUUUGUAAUUUGUUAGACUUUUGGACUUGUAAUUUAGACUUUUGGAAUUUGGACUUGUAAUUUAUUGGACU